UACGUAGGGUGCGAGCGUUAAUCGGAAUUACUGGGCGUAAAGCGUGCGUAGGCGGUGAUGUAAGACAGGUGUGAAAUCCCCGGGCUUAACCUGGGAACUGCAUUUGUGACUGCAUCGCUGGAGUGCGGCAGAGGGGGAUGGAAUUCCGCGUGUAGCAGUGAAAUGCGUAGAUAUGCGGAGGAACACCGAUGGCGAAGGCAAUCCCCUGGGCCUGCACUGACGCUCAUGCACGAAAGCGUGGGGAGCAAACAGG
rnacentral:rRNA from 1 species